CUUAAAUAUAUUUAAUGGUCUCGUUGCAAAAGCUAAAUUGUCGCAAGGGAACUUUUAUUUAUUUAUUUUAUUUCACCUUUAUUUAACCCGGGUAGCAAAGAUUAUAGCAAAGACCACUGAAACGGAAUUGGUGCUCGCUAGCUUUGCAAAUUCAGCUAUUGUUGGAAGCCAGCCAAUAUGAAACAAACUAUUAAAAUUAUAAAAGGUUGCAGCAUAUGUUGUGUAAAUGGUGAACUCAUACAGCUGUCAACUCUUGUCACUGCAAUCCGUUUCACAUUUGCUAGCUACCUUUUAGAUCGAAGCCCAAAUAGAAUGAUAGAAGAUGAUAGAAGCCCAUCUCCUACUGUAAAUAACCUACACACUGUGUGUGUGUGUAGCCAGCCAGCCAGCCAGGCAGAAAAAUGGCAGAAAAAUAAAAGACGGACAUCAGAGUAUUUUUCAGUACACCAAAACGCAAAGUAAGAACCCUAGUAACCUAAUAUCUCAAAGACUAGUUGAUAAAAUGUUCAUAAGAAACAAAUGAAAUUCUAAUGGAAAUGUUUCACAAUGAUGUCAUUAGGCAGAGCAGGCAACAGAUGGCACACAGACAGCAGAGUUGGGGACAGAUAUGCAGGGACAGACUGGCAGAGACAGGGCAACAUUAUGAAAGGUUCUCCUUUUUUUUAACUUGUAAAAUAGGAACAUAAUUGGAAAAUGCCAUGUAUACCCCCACUCUCAACUUAAACUGGUGACUGAACUAAGAUUUGUCAAAGGCAAUGGUAUUGCUGUUGUGAUUAAAUCAAAUCAAAUCAAAUGUAUUUAUAUAGCCCUUCGUACAUCAGCUGAUAUCUCAAAGUGCUGUACAGAAACCCAGCCUAAAACCCCAAACAGCAAGCAAUGCAUGUGAAAGAAGCACGGUGGCUAGGAAAAACUCCCUAGGAAAAACUCCCUAGAAAGGCCAAAAACCUAGGAAGAAACCUAGAGAGGAACCAGGCUAUGAGGGGUGGCCAGUCCUCUUCUGGCUGUGCCGGGUGGAUAUUAUAACAGAACAUGGUCAAGAUGUUAAAAUGUUCAUAAAUGACCAGCAUGGUCAAAUAAUAAUAAUCAUAGUAGUUGUCGAGGGUGCAACAAGCACGUCCGGUGAACAGGUCAGGGUUCCAUAGCCGCAGGCAGAACAGUUGAAACUGGAGCAGCAGCACGGCCAGGUGGACUGGGGACAGCAAGGAGUCAUCAUACUAGGUAGUCCUGAGGCAUGGUCCUAGGGCUCAGGUCCUCCGAGAGAAAGAAAGAAAGAGAGAAAGAGAGAAUUAGAGCGAGCAUAUUUAAAUUCACACAGGACACCGGAUAAGACAAGAGAAAUACUCCAGAUGUAACAGACUGACCCUAGCCCCCCGACACAUAAACUACUGCAGCAUAAAUACUGGAGGCUGAGACAAGAGGGAUCAGGAGACACUGUGGCCCCAUCCGAUGAAACCCACGGACAGGGCCAAACAGGCAGGAUAUAACCCCACCCACUUUGCCAAAGCACAGCCCCCACACCACUAGAGGGAUGUCUCCAACCACCAACUUACCGUCCUAAGACAAGGCCGAGUAUAGCCCACAAAGAUCUCCGCCACUGUACAACCCAAGGGGGGGGGGGCGCCAACCCAGACAGGAAGACAACGUCAGUGACUCAGCCCACUCAAGUGACGCACCCCUCCCAUGGACGGCAUGGAAGAACACCAGUACGCCAGUGACUCAGCCCCUGUAAUAGGGUUAGAGGCAGAGAAUCCCAGUGGAGAGAGGGGAACCGGCAAGGCAGAGACAGCAAGGGCGGUUCGUUGCUCCAGCCUUUCCGUUCACCUUCACACUCCUGGGCCAGACUAUACUUAAUCAUAAGACCUACUGAAGAGAUAAGUCUUCAGUAAAGACUUAAAGGUUGAGACUGAGUCUGUGUCUCUCACAUGGGUAGGCAAACCAUUCCAUAAAAAUUGAGCUCUAUAGGAGAAAGCCCUACCUCCAGCCGUUUGCUUAGAAAUUCUAGGGACAAUUAGGAGGCCUGCGUCUUGUGACCGUAGCGUACGUGUAGGUAUGUACGGCAGGACCAAAUCGGAAAGAUAGGUAGGAGCAAGCCCAUGUAAUGCUUUGUAGGUUAGCAGUAAAACCUUGAAAUUAGCCCUUGCCUUAACAUGAAGCCAGUGUAGGGAGGCUAGCACUGGAGUAAUAUGAUCAAAUUUUUGGGUUCUAGUCAGGAUCCUAGCAGCAGUAUUUAGCACUAACUGAAGUUUAUUUAGUGCUUUAUCCGGGUAGCCGGAAAGUAGAGCAUUGCAGUAGUCCAGUCUAGAAGUAACAAAAGCAUGGAUACAUUUUUCUGCGUCAUUUUUGGACAGAAAGUUUCUGAUUUUUUUUAUGUUAUGUAGAUGGAAAAAAGCUGUCCUUGAAACAGUCUUGAUAUGUUCUUCAAAAGAGAGAUCAGGGUCCAGAGUAACGCCGAGUUCCUUCACAGUUUUAUUUGAGAUGACUGUACAACCAUCCAGAUUAAUUGUCAGAUUCAACAGAAGAUCUCUUUGUUUCUUGGGACCUAGAACAAGCAUCUCUGUUUUGUCCGAGUUUAAAAGUAGAAAGUUUGCAGCCAUCCACUUCUUUAUGUCUGAAACACAGGCUUCUAGCGAGGGCAAUUUUGGGGCUUCACCAUGUUCCAUUGAAAUGUACAGCUGUGUGUUGUCCGCAUAGCAGUGAAAUUUAACAUUAUGUUUUCGAAUGACAUCCCCAAGAGGUCAAAUAUAUAGUGAAAACAAUAGUGGUCCUAAAACGGAACCUUGAGGAACACCGAAAUUUACAAUUGAUUUGUCAGAGGACAAACCAUUCACAGAGACAAACUGAUAUCUUUCCGACAGAUAAGAUCUAAACCAGGCCAGAACUUGUCCAUGUAGAUCAAUUUGGGUUUCCAAUCUCUCCAAAAGAAUGUGGUGAUCGAUGGUAUCAAAAGCGGCACUAAGAUCUAAGAGCACGAGGACAGAUGCAGAGCCUCGGUCUGACGUCAUUAAAAGGUAAUUUACCACCUUCACAAUUGCAGUCUCAGUGCUAUGAUGGGGUCUAAAACCAGACUGAAGCGUUUUGUAUACAUUGUUUGUCUUCAGGAAGGCAGUGAGUUGCUGUGCAACAGCUUUUUCUAAAAUGUUUGAGAGGAAUGGAAGAUUCGAUAUAGGCCGAUAGUUUUUUAUAAUUUCUGGGUCAAGAUUCGGCUUUUUCAAGAGAGGCUUUAUUACUGCCACUUUUAGAGAGCUUGGUACACAUCCGGUGGAUAGAGGCGUUUAUUAUGUUCAACAUAGGAGGGCCAAGCACAGGAAGCUGCUCUUUCAGUAGUUUAGUUGGAAUAGGGUCCAGUAUGCAGCUUGAGGGUUUGGAGGCCAUGAUUAUUUUCAUCAUUGUGUCAAGAGAUAUAGUACUAAAACACUUUAGUAUCUCCCUUGAUCCUAGGUCCUGGCAAAGAUGUGUAGACUCAGGACAAUGGAGCUUUGGAGGAAUACCCAGAUUUAAAGAGUAGUCCGUAAUUUGCUUUCUAAUGAUCAUGAUCUUUUCCUCAAAGAAGUUCAUAAAUUUAUUACUGCUGAAGUGAAAGCCAUCCUCCAUUUGUGAAUGCUGCUUUUUAGUUAGCUUUGCGACAGUAUCAAAAAGAAAUUUCGGAUUGUUCUUAUUUUCCUCAAUUAAGUUGGAAAAAUAGGAUGAUCGAGCAGCAGUGAGGGCUCUUCGAUACUGCACGGUACUGUCUUUCCAAGCUAGUCGGAAGACUUCCAGUUUGGUGUGGCGCCAUUUCCGUUCCAAUUUUCUGGAAGCUUGCUUCAGAGCUUGUGUAUUUUCUGUAUACCAGGGAGCUAGUUUCUUAUGACAGAUGUUUUACAUUUUUAGGGGUGCAACUGCAUCUAGGGUAUUGCGCAAGGUUAAAUUGAGUUCCUCGGUUAGGUGGUUAACUGAUUUUUGUCCUCUGACGUCCUUGGGUAGGCAGAGGGAUUCUGGAAGGGCAUCAAGGAAUCUUUGGGUUGUCUGAGAAUUUAUAGCACGACUUUUAAUGCUCCUUGGUUGGGGUCUGAGCAGAUUAUUUGUUGCAAUUGCAAAUGCAAUAAAAUGGUGGUCCGAUAGUGCAAGAUUAUGAGGAAAAACAUUAAGAUCCACAACAUUUUAUUGUGUAGUCUUGGGUACCAGUAGUUAGGAGUACGGCAAACACCUUAUUUCUUUGGUUCCUCAAUAUACAUUUACCAUAUUACAAUGUAGGCUAUGUGUUACAGCACUACUUUUGGUGUCCCCCUUAGGAAUUGCUCUUGAGAAAAUGUAAUGUAAUUGUACCCUCCAAAGUUGAUAUCAGAUUUUCGCCCCUGAAUACAGUAUGAGGUGAGACGGUGAACUAAUGUUGAACUGGGCAGUCAGCUGCUGCUGCUCCAAUACAGUAUGAGGUGAGACGGUGAACUGAUGUUGAAUCGUAAUGAUUAAGUUAAUUAAAAUGAAUUAGUGAAACUGUUAAAAAAAUUGUAUAUGGCAUAUUAAAUAUUUUACGCUAUUGUUAUCAUAUAGAAACAUCAUGGAAUAUUGUACAUCAUAUUAAAU
rnacentral:lncRNA from 1 species